UGCAGGAAUAUUAAUUUGAUGAAUACUCCCAA
rnacentral:piRNA from 1 species